rnacentral:hammerhead_ribozyme from 1 species
AUCCAGAUGACGAGUGCUAAAUUAGACGAAACGAGCGUCGUGGAU